rnacentral:rRNA from 1 species
GAUGAACGCUGGCGGCGUGCCUAAUACAUGCAAGUCGAGCGAACAGACGAGGAGCUUGCUCCUCUGACGUUAGCGGCGGACGGGUGAGUAACACGUGGAUAACCUACCUAUAAGACUGGGAUAACUUCGGGAAACCGGAGCUAAUACCGGAUAAUAUAUUGAACCGCAUGGUUCAAUAGUGAAAGACGGUUUUGCUGUCACUUAUAGAUGGAUCCGCGCCGCAUUAGCUAGUUGGUAAGGUAACGGCUUACCAAGGCAAUGAUGCGUAGCCGACCUGAGAGGGUGAUCGGCCACACUGGAACUGAGACACGGUCCAGACUCCUACGGGAGGCAGCAGUAGGGAAUCUUCCGCAAAGGGCGAAAGCCUGACGGAGCAACGCCGCGUGAGUGAUGAAGGUCUUCGGAUCGUAAAACUCUGUUAUUAGGGAAGAACAAAUGUGUAAGUAACUAUGCACGUCUUGACGGUACCUAAUCAGAAAGCCACGGCUAACUACGUG